rfam:Capsella rubella cultivar Monte Gargano unplaced genomic scaffold scaffold_6, whole genome shotgun sequence.
UCUUGGCUUAGUUAGGAGGCGCAAAUCAACAUGAUCAUCAAUACUUUUCUGUAUUGUUUUGACUUGUGGCUUUUUGUUUUCGUGGAGAAGCUUCUGUUUUGACUUUAAACUCAAGCUACUUCCUCAAAAAGUUUCAGACAUCA